GAUGUUGAAGUCCCAUUUCCGUGAGCUGAUACAGUUAAAAUUAUAAUUUUUAUAUUAAAAGUAUAUAUUGGCUACCCGUAAAAGCAGUAAUCGAAUGACAAAAACCUAACAAACUAUCCUGACAAACUUGCUGUCCGAUAAUGGGCGCAUUUCUGCAAAAUUAGCCCGCUAUCAAAAAUCUGGCUGCUCUCGUCAGUUAAAAACAUUAGCACGUACCGAUAUCCGCGGUUAGAGGCCCGCGGCGGGAUCCGGUAAACAUGGACCUCUGGCUUUACACAGAGCAUUGACUCGUAGCUGUUGUCUUCUGCCAUCUUGUCAAGUUUCACUAACCCAAAAACCAACUUCCGACUUUCAAUGGACCCUUCGCCUGCUCGGCUCUGUCCUGCUGAACCAGGCUAACCGGACCCUAACAGCGCCACCUCCGGCCAGGAUGUAUAAGCGCCUAAAGAGAAGACAUCCGUGUCUUGAAUCAGGCAGCUCCUGCCUAUCUGCACAGUCGGAAGCCUGAGGUGCCAUCCGGGCCGUUGGGUUGACGGAUCACGUGAUUGUUUGAACGAACUGGUUCCAGUGGUUGCUGCACACUCAUACAAGCUGGCCUAAUAAUGUUGAUUUUGCAGACAUUACAACUCACCUGUCCUGGCACUGAUUGUCCUGAGGCGUCUCUUCUGAAGAAGCACUACCCAAAAUCCUCCUUCGGGCUUCUGCAUACUCUGCCUCUCUCUGGGCCAGAGACUUCAUCUGCUGAGCGGGACGAGACGAGGCAGCGGGGUUUCCUGUGUUGCCGUUAUUUGUAGGGCGCUUUAAAAUUCGGAUUUGAGGUGGUGGUGCUGCUGGGAGAGAGUCAUCUUGGACUACGACAGCAGUUCGUAUAGGUGAACUGGCUGAUUUCAAAUUGGACUUUCUGCAAAGAUGAGAAAAUCAUUAGUGUUUGAAGAGGUCUGGGCAUGUUUUAAGUUAAGUUAAUUUCAUUUCCUUAGUUUUAGUCUUCCUAUUAAAGUUUUAAAAAAAUA